rnacentral:lncRNA from 10 species
UUGGGCCAUUGCUUCAAAGAGUGCAAGUCCCAAGCAUUGAUGGCUUCCACCUGGUGUUGUGACUGCAGUUGUGCAGAAGACAAGAGUUGAGCUUUGGGAACCUCCAGCUAGAUUUUAGAGGAUGUAUGGAAAUGCCUGGAUGUCCAGGUAGAAGUCUGCUGCAGGGGCAGAGCCCUCAUGAAGAACCCCUGCUAGGGCAAUGCAGAAGGGAACUGUGGGUUUGGAGCCCCUACAGAGAAUCCCCACUGGGGCACUCCCUAGUGAAGCUGUGAGAAGAGAGCCACCCUCCUCCAAACACCACAAUGGUAGAUCCACUGACAGCUUGCACCAUACACCUGCAAAAGCCACAGGCACUCAGUGUCUGCCCAUGAAAGCAGUGGUGGCUACCCAAGCUACCCCUUGCAUCAGCAUGGCCUGGAUGUGAGACAUGGAGUCAUUAGGAUUUAAAGACUUCCCAGCUGGGUUUCAGACUUGCAUGGGGUCUGUGGCCCUUUAUUUUGGCCAAUUUCUCCCAUUUGAAAUGGGAAUGUUUACCCAAUGCUUGUACCCCCAUUGUAUCUUGAAAGUAACUAACUUGUUUUUGAUUUUGCAGUCUCAUAGGCCAAAGGGACUUGCUUUGUCUCAGAUAAGACUUUGGACUUGACUUUUGGGGUAAUGCUGAAAUGAGUUAAGAAUUUAGGGGACUGUUGGGAAGGCAUGAUUGGUUUUGAAAUGUGAAAGGACAUGAAAUUUGAGAGGGGCUGGGGCAUAAUGAUAUGCUUUGGUUCUGUGUCCCCACCCAAAUCUCAUCUCAAAUUGUAAUUCUCACAUGUAGAGGGAGAGACCUGGUGGAAGGUAAUUGGAUCAUGGAGGUGGUUUACCCCAUGCUGUUCUCAUGAUAGUAAGAAAAUUCUCAUGAGAUUUGAUGGUUUUAAAAGUGGAAGUUUCCCCUGAAGACUCUCUCUCUACUGCCACCUUGUGUGGAAGAUGCCUGCUUUCCUUUUGCCUUCCACCAUGAUUGUAAGUUUCUUGAAGCCUCCCAGCCAUGCAGAACUGUGAGUCAAUUAAACCUCCUUUCUUUAUAAAUUACCCAAUCUCAGGUAGUAUUUUUAUAGCAGUGUGAGAAUGAACUAAUAUAUUGGCAAACACCAGUCUAUCCUUUGCUUCUAAGUUUGAACAUUUUAGAUAACUCCUAUAAGUGUAUCUAAGAGGUAUAAGUGUAUUAAAUACACUUAUAGGAGGUAUCUAAAAUGGUCAUACUCCUAUAAGUAUAAUGGCUAUACUCCUAUAAGUGUAUCUAAAUCAUGAACAAUUUGUCCUUCUCUAUCUUAUUUAACCUAAAAUAAUGUCCUCCAGUUUCACUC